UAGGGAAUCUUCCGCAAUGGGCGAAAGCCUGACGGAGCAACGCCGCGUGAGUGAUGAAGGUCUUCGGAUCGUAAAACUCUGUUAUUAGGGAAGAACAAAUGUGUAAGUAACUAUGCACGUCUUGACGGUACCUAAUCAGAAAGCCACGGCUAACUACGUGCCAGCAGCCGCGGUAAUACGUAGGUGGCAAGCGUUAUCCGGAAUUAUUGGGCGUAAAGCGCGCGUAGGCGGUUUUUUAAGUCUGAUGUGAAAGCCCACGGCUCAACCGUGGAGGGUCAUUGGAAACUGGAAAACUUGAGUGCAGAAGAGGAAAGUGGAAUUCCAUGUGCAGCGGUGAAAUGCGCAGAGAUAUGGAGGAACACCAGUGGCGAAGGCGACUUUCUGGUCUGUAACUGACACUGAUGUGCGAAAGCGUGGGGAUCAAACAGG
rnacentral:rRNA from 1 species